CUUUCUUUGCUGGCGACCGGCGCACGGGUGAGUAACACGUAUCCAACCUGCCCUUUACUCGGGGAUAGCCUUUCGAAAGAAAGAUUAAUACCCGAUAGUAUAAUGAUUCCGCAUGGUUUCAUUAUUAAAGGAUUCCGGUAAAGGAUGGGGAUGCGUUCCAUUAGGUUGUUGGUGAGGUAACGGCUCACCAAGCCUUCGAUGGAUAGGGGUUCUGAGAGGAAGGUCCCCCACAUUAGAACUGAGACACGGUCCAA
rnacentral:rRNA from 1 species